rfam:Ornithorhynchus anatinus chromosome 14, whole genome shotgun sequence.
GGCAGUGUGGCUUAGUGGAAAGAGAGUGGGCCUGAGAGACAGAGGACCUGGGUUCUAAUCCCAGCUCUACCA